rnacentral:rRNA from 1 species
AGAGGGUGCGAGCGUUGUCCGGAAUCACUGGGCGUAAAGGGCGCGUAGGCGGCCUGAUAAGUAGGGGGUGAAAUCCUGUGGCUUAACUGCAGGGCUGCCUCCUAGACUGUCGGGCUCGAGCACGGUAGAGGCAGAUGGAAUUCCCGGUGUAGCGGUGGAAUGCGUAGAGAUCGGGAAGAACAUCGGUGGCGAAGGCGGUCUGCUGGGCCGUUGCUGACGCUGAGGCGCGACAGCGUGGGGAGCAAACAGGAUUAGAUACCCUGGUAGUCCACGCCGUAAACGAUGGACACUAGGCGUCGGGGGGAGCGACCCUCUCGGUGCCGUCGCUAACGCAGUAAGUGUCCCGCCUGGGGAGUACGGCCGCAAGGCUG